UAACACGUGGGUAACCUGCCUUAUAGUGGGGGAGUAGCCUUUCGAAAGGAAGAUUAAUACCGCAUAAGAUUGUAGUAUCGCAUGAUAUAGCAAUUAAAGGAGCAAUUCGCUAUAAGAUGGACCCGCGUCGCAUUAGCUAGUUGGUGAGGUAAUGGCUCACCAAGGCGACGAUGCGUAGCCGACCUGAGAGGGUGAACGGCCACAUUGGGACUGAGACACGGCCCAGACUCCUACGGGAGGCAGCAUG
rnacentral:rRNA from 1 species